AUUAAAUCAAAAGCGGUAUUUGCG
rnacentral:miRNA from 1 species